AUUGAACGCUGGCGGCAGGCUUAACACAUGCAAGUCGAGCGGAGAGAGGUAGCUUGCUACUGAUCUUAGCGGCGGACGGGUGAGUAAUGCUUAGGAAUCUGCCUAUUAGUGGGGGACAACAUUUCGAAAGGAAUGCUAAUACCGCAUACGUCCUACGGGAGAAAGCAGGGGAUCUUCGGACCUUGCGCUAAUAGGUGAGCCUAAGUCGGAUUAGCUAGUUGGUGGGGUAAAGGCCUACCAAGGCGACGAUCUGUAGCGGGUCUGAGAGGAUGAGCGGCGACGCUGGGACUGGACCACGGCCCGGACUCCUACGGGAGGCAGCAGUGGGGAAUAUUGGACAAUGGGAGCAAGCCUGAUCCAGCCAUGCCGCGUGUGUGAAGAAGGCCUUAUGGUUGUAAAGCACUUUAAGCGAGGAGGAGGCUACUUUAGUUAAUACCUAGAGAUAGUGGACGUUACUCGCAGAAUAAGCACCGGCUAACUCUGUGCCAGCAGCCGCCGUAA
rnacentral:rRNA from 1 species